rnacentral:rRNA from 1 species
GGGGAAUAUUGGACAAUGGGGGCAACCCUGAUCCAGCCAUGCCGCGUGAGUGAUGAAGGCCUUCGGGUUGUAAAGCUCUUUUGGCGGGGACGAUGAUGACGGUACCCGCAGAAUAAGCCCCGGCUAACUUCGUGCCAGCAGCCGCGGUAAGACGAAGGGGGCAAGCGUUGUUCGGAAUUACUGGGCGUAAAGCGCACGUAGGCGGCUUGUUAAGGCGGGGGUGAAAUCCCGGAGCUCAACUCCGGAACUGCCUUCGAUACUGGCAAGCUCGAGUCCGGGAGAGGUGAGUGGAACUGCGAGUGUAGAGGUGAAAUUCGUAGAUAUUCGCAAGAACACCGGUGGCGAAGGCGGCUCACUGGCCCGGUACUGACGCUGAGGUGCGAAAGCGUGGGGAGCAAACA